AUUUAGAGCCUCAGAAAUGCAAGAAUCAGAUGACACAUGUUGGGCACAGAACACCCCUGCCUUGUGUACAACAUUAACAUUUAAUCAGCGAGAGAGUGACGGAGAGAGAGAUCAUCUCAAGCAGAUUCCAGACUUGGAGCCCGAUGUGGGGCUCAAUCCCAAGAUUCUGGGGAUCACGACCCGAGCCAAAAUCAAGAGUCGGACACUCAACUGACUGAGCCACCUGGGUGCCCCUGAAUAAAACUUUAAGAAAUUC